GGGGAGCCCGAGGAAGCUGUGAGAUGCUAACCCCACCAUGACAGGCUCCCAGUGGCUGUCACUCCAGUCCAGCACUGUGCUCAGCCUGCACAUAGCUAUCCACAUGCUUGGGUCCCCUUCUCCCACGAUGAGGUGACCAGGGCUGACAGUCAACCCUGGAUCUAAGCGGCUGGGAGUUCUGGGGUGGGAGAAAUGGGAUCUUUGGGGAGCUCUGCAGAACCUCAAGGCACCAGAUUCAACAAAGAAGGGGGAGCCCUGGCCGCCACCCAGGGUCCCUGCAAGCAGGAGGAGUUGUCCUAAUUUUGUUCUGGCAACGAAAUAAUUAACAAAUGCAGCAUGAAGGCAGGGCCAGACUGAACUGAAGGACAGACAGUCAAACAGAAUGUCUGGAACAUGAUCAUUUACAGGAUGAUCACUACUGGCCAAUAGGCAGGAGCUGCCAACACCACCCCUGCCACCCCCUCGUGCCCCCGCAGCCUCUCCAGAGACGCUUCAGAGACCCUCAGGCUCCUUGGCCGGGCGUGGAGCAUGUCUCCCAGGGGCACUAGAUGAAGGAGAAUGUGCUGCAGAUGUGACAAAUGCCGGCUACGUUUCAUGGGGUCAUCCUUGCCUGGCCGUGGAAAGCGAGAAGAGAAACACCCGCGAUCCUGUGGACCAGGGGAGCCCAAAGAGAAUGGCAGUGACCAGGGAGGACAGAGAGGCCAGCCUGGACCAGGAGAUGCUGGGGGAGCUGGCAGGAAGACCAGGCUCCCCAGCCCCAAUGCAGCCACGCCAGGGAUAAGUGGAGCCCUCCUGGAUGAGCAGGGAAGAGGCAAUCUUCUCAUAACCACCCAGGUGGAGACACCGGCUCCGCUGUCCCCAGGAGGCUCGGGGGCACUGUCCCGGCGUGAACAGUACCAGAUUGAGGGAGGAGAGCAAGCCGAUGGCCAAGCCCAGAGCCGUGGGCUGUCGAAUGACAAGGGACUCAGUUUCAUCUAUAAAAUGGGACCAAUACAGGUGCCUACUUCACAGGACUAUCAUGAGGGGUGAGUUAGUGCAGGUGAAGGCCUGAACGUUGCUUCUGGCACAAGCAACACCCAGCAGAUAACCGCCACGGUGAGAAGAGGCUCCGAUGUGCACACUCCUGCCGGCCCUGCGGUUCUUGUCAGCUCAAGCUCCCCGUAUGCCUUGUAAAAAGCAGUAAUUAAGCUCUCUUGAAAAUUAAGCCAACGUGUCUUCCCUUUCCUCUCCAGUCCAUUUCCAGUGCUUGCAGAUUUUUUUUUAAAGAUUUUAUUUAUUCAUGAGAGACACAGAGAGGCAGAGACACAGGCAGAGGGAGAAGCAGGCUCCAUGCAGGGAACCCGAUGCGGGACUCUAUCCCAGGGUCCUGGGGUCACGCUCUGGGCCAAAGGCAGACGCUCAACCACUGAGCCACCCAGGCAUGCCCAGUGCUUGCAGAUUUUUAAAAUCCUCUCCCUCUGCUCACUUCUGUCCCCAAAAUGCCACAUAUCCUGGGGUG
rnacentral:lncRNA from 1 species